rnacentral:rRNA from 1 species
GACGAACGCUGGCGGCGUGCUUAACACAUGCAAGUCGAACGGAAAGGCCCUGCUUUUGUGGGGUGCUCGAGUGGCGAACGGGUGAGUAACACGUGAGUAACCUGCCCUUGACUUUGGGAUAACUUCAGGAAACUGGGGCUACUACCGGAUAGGAGCUCCUGCUGCAUGGUGGGGGUUGGAAAGUUUCGGCGGUUGGGGAUGGACUCGCGGCUUAUCAGCUUGUUGGUGGGGUAGUGGCUUACCAAGGCUUUGACGGGUAGCCGGCCUGAGAGGGUGACCGGCCACAUUGGGACUGAGAUACGGCCCAGACUCCUACGGGAGGCAGCAGUGGGGAAUAUUGCACAAUGGGCGGAAGCCUGAUGCAGCAACGCCGCGUGCGGGAUGACGGCCUUCGGGUUGUAAACCGCUGUCGCCUGUGACGAAGCGUGAGUGACGGUAAUGGGUAAAGAAGCACCGGCUAACUACGUG